UGGGGAAUUGUUCACAAUGGGCGCAAGCCUGAUGACGCAACGCCGCGUGGGGGAUGAAGGUCUUCGGAUCGUAAACCCCUGUCGAAUGGGACGAAAGACUCGCGAGUGAAUACUUCGCGAGAGUGACGGUACCGUUAAAGGAAGCCACGGCUAACUCUGUGCCAGCAGCCGCGGUAAUACAGAGGUGGCAAGCGUUGUUCGGAAUUACUGGGCGUAAAGGGCGCGUAGGCGGCCCUCUAAGUCAGACGUGAAAUCCCCCGGCUUAACCUGGGAACUGCGUCUGAUACUGGAGGGCUUGAGUAUGGGAGAGGGAUGUAGAAUUCCAGGUGUAGCGGUGAAAUGCGUAGAUAUCUGGAGGAAUACCGGUGGCGAAGGCGGCAUCCUGGACCAUUACUGACGCUGAGGCGCGAAAGCUAGGGGAGCAAACGGGAUUAGAUACCCUUGUAGUCCCUG
rnacentral:rRNA from 1 species